GAUGUCUGUGGAUUGUAACCUCUUUUCUCUAGGAAGAAGAUCUGACGGUACUAGAGGAAUCAGCAUCGGCUAACUCCGUGCCAGCAGCCGCGGUAAGACGGAGGAUGCAAGCGUUAUCCGGAAUUAUUGGGCGUAAAGCGUCCGUAGGCGGUUAAUUAAGUCAGUUGUUAAAGACUGCAGCUCAACUGUGGAGGAGCAACUGAAACUGAUUGACUAGAGUAUGGUAGGGGUAGAGGGAAUUCCUAGUGUAGCGGUGAAAUGCGUAGAUAUUAGGAAGAACACCAGUGGCGAAGGCGCUCUACUGGGCCAAGACUGACGCUGAUGGACGAAAGCUAGGGGAGCGAAAGGGAUUAGAUACCCCCAGUA
rnacentral:rRNA from 1 species